rnacentral:rRNA from 1 species
AUUGAACGCUGGCGGCAGGCCUAACACAUGCAAGUCGAGCGGAGCGGCGGACGGGUGAGUAAUGUCUGGGAAACUGCCUGAUGGAGGGGGAUUACGUCCGGAAACGGGGGCUCAUACCCCAUACUAUCAAAUGAGCCUAGGUCGGAUUGGCUCGUUGGUGGGGUAAAGGCCUACCAAGCCGACGAGCCGUAACUGGUCUGAGAGGAUGAUCAGGCACACUGGAACUGAGACACGGUCCAGACUCCUACGGGAGGCAGCGGUGGGGAAUAUUGGACAAUGGGCGAAAGCCUGAUCCAGCCAUGCCGCGUGUGUGAAGAAGGUCUUCGGAUUGUAAAGCACUUUAAGUUGGGAGGCGUUACCAACAGAAUAAGCGCCGGCUAACUUCGUGCCAGCAGCCGCGGUAAUUC